rnacentral:tRNA from 1 species
GCGACUAUGAUCCAGUCUGGUUAAGAUCCGAGCUUCCCAAGCUCGUUACGCGGGUUCAAAUCCCGCUGGUCGCA